rfam:Schistosoma haematobium scaffold1124_11, whole genome shotgun sequence.
AUCCAAAUGACGAGUCCCAAAUAGGGCGAAAUGAGCGUGAUGUAU